CCACUCUAGCGAGACUGCCGGUAAUAAACCGGAGGAAGGUGGGGAUGACGUCAAAUCAUCAUGCCCCUUAUGACCUGGGCUACACACGUGCUACAAUGGGUGGAACAACGAGUCGCGAGUUCGCGAGGGUAAGCUAAUCUCUUAAAGCUUCUCUCAGUUCGGAUUGUAGGCUGCAACUCGCCUACAUGAAGCCGGAAUCGCUAGUAAUCGCGGAUCAGCACGCCGCGGUGAAUACGUUCCCGGGCCUUGUACACACCGCCCGUCACACCACGAGAGUUUGUAACACCCGAAGUCGGUGAGGUAACCUUUUGGAGCCAGCCGCCUAAGGUGGGAUAGAUGAUUGGGGUGAAGUCGUAACAAGGUAACCGU
rnacentral:rRNA from 1 species